UACAGACAUAAAAUGUAAACGGAACGC
rnacentral:piRNA from 1 species